rnacentral:lncRNA from 1 species
AGAUGACAACCUCCCAAAAGCACUGAGGCUUCACGGCAGAGCCUAUGGGGGAAAACCAGUGGGGAGCCUGGCCAGUAUUGGUGAAGUGCUGGGCAAGAAGCUGGAGGAAAGGGGCUUUGACAAGGCCUGUGUUGUCCUUGGCUGGUGCUAAAGAAAGAGGAAGAUCUUGCCCAGGUAUGGCUGAAGGACACAAGUAGCACCAAAGCCAAGCAGCCCCAGGACUGCUUUGGAUGCAUUCAAGAGUGGUGUGACGCCUUCU